AGAUGUCCUAACACUCGUACCGAGAUACAGCUCUAUGGGGACCGGCCGAGACGUGCGCUGCGAAUAAAAGAAGAUGCAGAAUAGUUAUUAUCAAUAAAACAUUUUUAAAAAGGUAA